UUACUAUCUCAGACAUUAAUUCUGGUGUCUUUUGUGUCUCUUUGUCCAUGCAUUCGGGUCCGGAAGAUUUCUGAGAUGAAUUUUCAUCAAGAACUUGAAUUUGUUUUCUUUGGCUAGUGUUGUCAGAGCAACAACAACAAGAUUUGGAAUUCAUUUUUCACAAUUUGCAAUCAAAAAAAGGCAAAACAAUGGCGUCAAGUAAAAAAUAAAAUGAUUGAAUAUGCCUGGGCCUGCUUUUGUUUUUUUUUUUUUUAAAUGAGAAACGUUUGAACCCAAGAAAAACAAAUUUAGAUCCAUUUCAAUAAGGUUCGAUUGGAGACUGCCUUAUAAUCCAUGGAAGUAAGAGAAGACCAAGCAGCUGUUUGCAGAGGCCGUUAUUUAGUUUGUUCAGUUCACUGGGUUCAGCAAUUAAGAGCAAUUGGACAAAAUCUUAUUCACACGACCGCUCAUUCAAAUACUUUAGGAGAUGAAGAAAUAACACUGGUAAUUGGGGCAGACGUCUGGUACAAGUGAUGACGAUAAUAUCCCAGAGGCACUUCCAAGUUACGAUAUUGAGAGUGUACUAUCCAUCUAGAAUGAGUCCUUAAUAGAAUAAGGGACAAACUUGUUGUUGUUGUGGGAGUGUGUUGUACACUGGGGGGCUGUCCUUGCCGAUGAAAGACCCCAUCAGGUCAAUCUGGUGCGUACAACCGGCUGCCAUGAGAUUGGACAAACAUUGAUCACAAUAUUUGACCGGCAACUGCGGCCUUAUGCUGAGUAUGCACCUCUAGCGAAAUGUCCGGCAGCCAAGACAUGUGUGUCGCCACUGAAAAAUACAAGAUGGCGCCAAACAUCGAUUUAUAGUUUAGGCCGAGUUUUAAUCAUUUUUGGCUUAUUAAGUACAUAUGUGCUGUAAUUAAUCGUUUUUAUUUGCAAAUAACUGUACUUCAUGUUGCAUGCAGCUAUUGAAACAAGAAAAAAAAUCACCAAUUCCUAUUAUGUCACCCGUUACGCAAAGAAAAUUUCGUUCGAGCUGCGUACCUCCCAGCGAAAUAUUCGGUAACGAAAAUUUCGUUAAAUUUCAAUGCAUUUCUUAUGAAAACGAAACUUUCGCCAGAGGUGCAUACAGCGCUUUAGGUAAUAUAUUGAAAGAAUCUUCCCAAGUGGGAUAUGAAGAGAUACCUGCAACUAAAUACGUAGACGACAACGACCGCCAUGUCGAGAAUAUAGAAAACGAAUUUCAACGUGACUUUAACAUGUUGACCUUGGUGGUUAUAACGUCUUUGUAAAACAGCGGUGUCAAACUGAGACCUACCGCACAGUGGCGCAGUAUCAAAAUCCAACUUAAAAACAAAAAACUUGGAAGAUUUUUUCCUAUAGGCAAUUUAAGUUUUUUUGUCCUUGAUAGUAAUAAAGAAAAGCAACCAACGGGAGAGGGAGCACGGAUGGCCGGAAUAAGUAAUCCCACAGCAGCCGGUUGUACGUACCGAAUUGAUCCGAUGAAAUCCUUCAUCGGCAAGGGUUGCCACCUUUGUGUACAACACACAGGUACAAUAAAAACCGGAAUAAGCACUUCCCAGAAAGGAA